rnacentral:rRNA from 1 species
AGAGCGGCGGACGGGUGAGUAACACGUGGACAAUCUCGCCCCCGGCCCGGGAUAGCCCAGGGAAACCUGGAUUAAUACCGGAUGAGACGGGACCCGCGAAGGCGGGACCGGGAAGGCGCUGCGGCGCCGCCGGGGGAUGAGUCUGCGUCCCAUUAGCUAGACGGCGGGGUAACGGCCCACCGUGGCGACGAUGGGUAGCCGGCCUGAGAGGGUGGACGGCCACAUUGGAACUGAGACACGGUCCAGACUCCUACGGGAGGCAGCAGCUAAGAAUCUUCCGCAAUGGGCGAAAGCCUGACGGAGCGACGCCCGCGUGAACGAAGAAGGCCGUGAGGUUGUAAAGUUCUUUUCGGGAGGGGGAACAACCGUGGCAGGGAAUGGCCGCGGGAUGACGUGAAUCCCGGAAUAAGCCCCGGCUAACUACGUGCCAGCAGCGGC